AGACAGAAAAUGAAAAGAAGAGAAAAGAAAAGGAAAAACAAAGGCCCUUUCUCUCUCUCUAUGCAGUUCUGUAUGCAUCAAAAUAUACAUACAUAAGCAAAAGACCAAGAGUUAUAUUUGAGAAUCGAAUCGAUCGGUGCCCGCAAAACGUAUUGAUUCUUCAAUACUCGUUAAGAGGACAUUUUUCUGGUUAUCGUGGCGAUAUAUAGAUAUAGGAAGGGUUUGUAUAGGUAGGCGAUCAAGUGGGCUUGAAUUAGGGUAUAUGAUCGUGGGAAUUUGAGAGAAUUUGAGGGGAAUUCCUUGGUGGUUUUUGGGAGUAGUUUAUUUGGAGUUAGAUUCUUGGAUUAAGAAUUGUCAUGUUAGAUUUUAGGAUAGAAGGUGGAUUAGGGUUUUGGGAAUUUUGAGGUUGGAGUUUAGGCUUAGGGUUUCUUUCCGAGAUGGAAGGUUGGGGAAGUGGCCCCAGGAUGAUUCAAGACCCCGAACUCGAAGAAGGAGAGGCUUGCUAUCACAAGGAUGAUACAAGCAUUGACCCUGAUGUUGCUUUCUCUUACCUUGACGACAAGGUUCAAAGUAUUUUGGGACAUUUUCAGAAAGACUUUGAAGGAGGAGUUUCUGCUGAAAAUUUGGGUGCAAAAUUUGGUGGGUAUGGUUCGUUCUUACCAACAUACCAACGUUCUCCUGCUGUUUGGUCUCAGCCAAAAUCUCCACUAGGAGUUCAAAAACCCAGUACGCCAAGAUCUCCAAAUUGUCUUCCUAAGGAGGGUAUCCCCCAUUAUUCUGGGGUGCUCCCAAAUGCGGCUUUUUCUCAUAGGAAUGGUGCUAAUGCUUCCCCUGCGAUACAUCCUUUACAAAAUUCAAAGGCCCCAUCAGUCGAUGGCUCAGUCAGACAAGAUGCUAUCUCGUCUGAUCAAGUUGCCGAGUCUUGUCCGACUGAAACUGGAUUUCCUUCAAGUAAAUCAAACAAUCAAACUGACCAAAGAAAAUUAAAGGUUCGUAUCAAAGUGGGUUCUGACAGGACUACACAAAGGAAUGUCGCAAUCUACAGUGGUCUGGGGCUUAUAUCUCCAUCUUCCUCAGCGGGAAACAGUACUGAGGAAAGUGGUGGAAUUUCGUGUGAACCUCAUGAGAUUCCUGAUGAAUCUCCCUCCAGAAUCCUCGAGCUAAUGAUUUCGUUCCCAGUUUCUGGAGUUUUGCUUUCACCUCUGCAUGAAGAUUUGCGCAACUUAAGAAGAGAGAGAAGUUCUUCAGUAGAUAGUGAGCCUGCAGCGGCCUUCAAGGGUGCGCACAAUCACUCUGUUGUACCUGUUUAUGAUACAAAUCCUAGGCUUGGGAAUGGGGAUGUUUUGAGAGGGAAGAAAACCAAAUCUGUUGAGAAGAGAGCAAAAUUUGAGAAAUCAAAAAAGGAACCUGGAAUGGAUAUUAAAGAAGAUAAGAAAAAUUUGGGAACUGAGACUCUGGAAUGCAGGCUGCAGUCAUCUGAUGAAACAAAUUGCAAGCCUAUAUCAGAUUCAGACUGCAGUGCUGGUGAGUCUUUGAAAGGUGUUGUUAGGACACCUGAAACUAUCAGGGAGUUUGGAAGGGAUGUCCUAGUGAGGAAGAUGGAGGACAAUAAGGAUAUUGUGAAAGGAAGAAUAGGAUCAGCUGAUGUGGUCAAGGCAGAAUCCUUCGAAUCAAUAUCUGGCCACAGUGGUGGUAAGUAUGACUACCAGGAGCCCAAAAAUAGAUCUGCAGAGAAGGUUGGGAAACAUCUAAGAAGUUAUCAGAAGGAUGGCUCAGUUUAUCAUGGGGAUGGUGCCAGGAGCAGAGGUAAGAAAAUUCCUGCUUCAUUUAAAGUCAAUUCUGAUAUUUCUGAAGGUGAGACGGUUUCCAGAGGAGCUAUGGAUCCUUUGAGUCAGAAAUGUAGUCUGAAAUCUACACCUGGAGAACAUGAUGAAUGGAGGAUGUCUCCUGCCGUAAAUAAGCUAUCAUUGGAAGGUAAAAAGAAGUUGAAGGGGAGCAACAAUGGUGUCAAACUAGAUUCAAAUUUAGCUGAGGAAAAUUUGAGUAGUGUUUCCUCUGCUACAAAAAACAAGUUGACUGUGAAAAAGGAUUCCUGUAAGGUCCAUAACAGACAUAAAGAUGUGGUUGACACAAGAUCAGAACAUUUGAAUAUCAUGAAGCAAUCACUAGAGAGGCCUUCCGAUGAUGGGUUAAAGAACUCUAAUCUUGAGACUGUCAAGGAAAAGCGUGCAUCUGCUGAUAAAAACAAAGAGAGAGCAACUAGUAAAAAGCUAAAUAACCAGGUAAAUUCUGGAACAAAUUUGGAGGAGCCCCCAGUUGAUGCCCUACCUCCCGCCAAAGGACUCAUUCCCGAGACUGAACAGACCUCCGUCGCUGGUGUUCUCAUAGAAGAACAUUGGGUCGCUUGUGACAGGUGUCAGAAGUGGCGUCUUUUGCCAAUUGGUACAGUGCCCCAGAAUCUGCCUGAUAAGUGGGUUUGCAGCAUGCUAAACUGGCUGCCAGGUUUGAACCGUUGUGACAUCAGCCAAGAUGAGACAACAAAAGCUCUUUAUGCUUUAUACCAGGUUCCUUUCCCUGAUAGUCAAAGUAAUAUUCAAACUCAUGCUGACAAAACUACAAAUAGAGUGGCUUCAGGUGGUGGCCAUCGUUUAGAUCAGAACCAGCAAAACUUCGAUUCUGACCAAAUCGCUGAUAAGGGAAAGAAGAAACAGAAAUUUAAAGAAGCAGCAAACACUGACGGUAUCAGCGAUCCAAUUCCUUCUUCAAACUUAAACAAAAACUUCCAACCGCAUUCAGUGAAAAACAGAAGUCUAAAGGAGGGCAAUCAGCCUCAAGCCGCACCUAAUCUAAUUAACAAAUCUAAUGUACAAUAUCAGAAUAAGUCAUCAGCUGUCAUGACAAAAUCAUUGAAUAAACGAAAAGACGAGCAUUUAGUCGGAGAUGAUGCAAAUCCCAGGAAGAAAAGCAAGAGGGAGUCUGAUCAGCAUGUACAUGCAAAUGUGAAAAAGAUUAAACCUGCAGUGGAUUUGGAUGACUUUCAGACAUCUGGUGGGGAUCUUGGUAGAGUUGGCCACAGUUCGUCUUCUGGUUUGCCAAACAAGGCGACUUUGAAGGAUAAGAAAAAACUGAGGAUACUUGAUUCAAGAUCUGAGGGGAGAGAAAAAUUACAAAUUUCUGGGAAAAAACAGAAAGAUAAUGUGCAGGAAUUACCCGAUAAUGGGUGCCUGGAUAUUAAUGCAUCCAAUAAAAGUGAAAUUUCUUCAAAGAAGAGAGAAUUGAAGGAUUCUCAAGGUAGUCAGGAUUAUCUACAGACACUGCAAAGAAAUGGAAGUGACCUUCAAAACAGCAAGGUACCUGUAAAAGAGGAGAGCAGCAAUAGUGGAUUUCAUAGAGAGAAGAAGUCCAGGGUUUCUCAGAUUGAUGGGAAGGAGUUCAGAAAAAGUAAGGAUAAUGAUAUAAUACCAAAAAGAAAAGUUUCUGGGAAUAAAGAAAUUCCAUAUGUCAGGAGUAUUGAGAAAGAACGGCAGGUAAGAAAAUACAGAGCAAAGUUUCCUGUGCAGCUAACCAUGGAUGAUAUAGAAUCACUGCGGAAGGAUUUGGGAUCGGAACCCUUAUCAAUGGCUGCCACUUCAAGCUCCUCUAAGGUUUCGGAUUCUCGUAAAACCAGAAGGAAUUGCAAAGAAGUCAAAGGGUCACCUGAAGAGUCAGUUUCCUCAUCUCCAAUGAGGAUCUCUUAUCUGAAUAAGGUUUUACCAGCGAGGAAGGAGACUACAGAGAGAGCAGAUUCUAGGCUCAAUGACUUCUCCACAAUGGGAAGCUCAAUAAAAUCUCUGGAUAGGAAUGGAAAUUUCGAGAGCAAUCAUUUGGGGACAGCCAGGAAGGGAAAAGCUACCAGUGGUCUUCCUGAGUCUUUUGAACAUCCUGUGCUACAUGUUCGGGACAGUGACACUAGAGACAAAUUCAGUGGCAAAUAUGAAUCAGGCACUAAUCCGGCCUCUGAAUAUGGCAAUGGCUCUUUUGAUUGUAACAAUGGUGAUAUACUGGACCAACAUAGCCUAUGUCCCACCAGUAUGCGUGUUUCAGAGCACAGCCAUGGCAAGGAGAGGAUGAACAAGAACAGUUCUAAUAUUAUGUUAUCUCAACAGAUAUCUAAAAGUGGUACUUCGUUGCUGCCCAUGGAUAAGGAUAGAACAUCUUUUGUUAAUUUUGAGAGAGUGGCAGAGAGGGUUUCCAGUCCACAGAUCGACCAUGAACACUUGAAUACAAAUAAAAAUUUGAAAGAAGAGGCAUUUAUUGAUCACAACUUUCGAGGUGAUAAACAAGAAACAUUGCGUCCUAGCAAAUCAGUGCCAGGAUCUCUGGAAGUAAGUUUUACAGAUUUAAGACCAAUUGAUACUUCUGUAGUUGGUGAUUUAUUAAAGGUUUCAGAAGAGCCAGCUAAUACUUGUCAUCAGCAUGGAACUAGUAACUUCAAUGGCCAUAAUGUGGCUGAUGGGGCUGUGAGUCGACAUCUUAGUUCUGUUAGCCUUGCUAGCAAGAAUUCCUCUAGUCUGACUCCAACUAGUGUUCUGAAAGAAGCUGAAAAUCUCAGAGAUUAUGCUGAUCGUCUCAAGGACUCUGGAUUUCCUUUUGAAAGUAAUGAGGCAUACUUCGAAGCUGCUUUAAAAUUUCUUCAUGGUGCUUCACUUUUAGAGGCGUGCAAUGGUGAAACUAGCAAGUACGGGGAGAUGAAUCAAAUGCAGAUAUAUAGAAGUACUGCCAAACUUUGCGAAACCUGUGCCCAUGAAUAUGAAAAACGCCAAGAAAUGGCUGCUUGCGCACUGGCAUACAAAUGCAUGGAGGUGGCUUACAUGAGGGUAGUUUAUUGCAAAAAUUCGAGCACAUACAGAUUUUUGCCUGAUCUGCAAGCAACUUUGCCAUCGGCUCUGCAAGGUAUGAUCAUAUCGUAUCAUGUGAAGGUGAAUCUCCAUCAUCUUCUGCAUCUGACAUUGAUAACUUGAACAAUUUAAUGGUCGAUAAAGCUGUUUUGUCUAAAGGCAAUGGUUCUCAAGUUGGGAAUCAUGCUAUAGUGCCUCGAAACCGCCCCAACCUUAUUCGGCUACUCGACUUCGCAACAGAUGUGAAUUCUGCAAUGGAGGCCUCCACAAAAUCCCAGAAUGCUUUUGCAGCUGCUAAUGUGAACCUAGAAGAUGCUCAGGAUAAAGAUGGUAUCGUCUCUGUUAAGAGGGUCCUUGACUUCAGCUUUCAGAAUGUAGAGGAACUUGUAUAUUUGGUACGGCUUGCAUUUAAGGCCGUCAAUCGCCAAGGUUUCAAUGGAAAUAGAGAGUAGGCAACUGUAUAUAGUUGUGUUUCACUAGCAUAUUUUCUGUGUGAGCUGGGCUUUGGAUACAAGUUGGAAGUGUGUUUGCACUUGCUGUCUGGUGAAGAAACAUAACAUUAACCGCCUGUUGCGUUUCUGGACAUGUGUACAAACAUGGUAUUGGUUCGUCAUUAUAUGAUAUAUUUUUGAAUGUUCAGCUUCUUUAGCCCACACGCUCAAAAUUUAGAUUCAACCACGUGGACAUUGCAAGCAUGAAGUUUUUACAUGUUCAAGGACAAGACUUGGAGUAAAUGUAAAAGUGCAGUUUUGAUUUUAGGGUUCUAUUUUUUGGGGGGAGUAUUAUAGAAAUCUAGAACAAUUAGUGAUAUUUGAGGUUGAGUUGCAAUGUAGUCAUGACUGGUCCAAUCAUAUUAAGGACUUGCUAUUUCUUUCCCAUCUACUUUUAUCAAUUUUCCCAAUAUAAUUAAAAGAAAGUUUUGAAGGUGUCUGAUUCAAUUGUAAAUAAAUGUUGCACCUUCUGUUUCUCUCUUUUGUAUAUAGACAUAAAUUCAUAUAUUAAAUUGCAUCUUUCUACAGGCCA